UCGAAGUGAAAGCAAGACCGAGAGAAGAAAAGAAGAGAAACCAAGAAAAAAGAAAAGAACGGAGGAAAAUGAAGAAGCCGAGAGUGGGGAAGAGAGAAAUUGAAAAGAAAAGAUACAGAAAAUAGAAUUGGAUAGUUAGAAUUAUAUCCAUUGGAUCAGUGGGUAAUAGAUUUAUGAAAUUUAAGUAAUUAUGUUACAGUCUGCAUGAUACGUAUAAGUUUUUAUAUCAGUUCUAACAGUUAAUUUUCGAACCCUGCAUUUUAGGAGGAACUUGAGAGUCCAGAGACCCACAACAGCCCCAACGAACCCCGGAGUGAAACAUGAUCUGUGAGUGGAUAUUAUUACUUUUAUGUAUUCCGUGAAGCAUUUAUGUUUGAUAAUAUGAUUUAAUAUCACGCUAUGAUUACAUGUACGCAUAUUAUAUGUUUGAUUGAGUCAUGAGAUAUGAUUGUCAGUCGCCAUAUAUGUACCCUUCCCCGUAGACUCUGUGCAUGCGUAUUGAGAGUUAGGUUACUCUACCCAUGCGAUGUAGCUAAAUUCUGCUAGGUAUUGAGAGGUUUUUCCCCUGCUCUACUCGUUCGAUGAUGAACCCGACGAGUAUUGAGAGUUAUUUCCUCUAGGUACUAUUUGGUGCAGUUUGUGAUGUAUGUAUGUAUGAAUUCCAUGUUUGCUAAUGUAUGACAUUCAAUGUGGAGUUAUGUCACAUGAUUAUGCAUAAGCACUAGUACACUAUAUUAUUAUUAUUAUUAUUAUUAUUAUUAUUAUUAUUAUUAUUAUUAUUAUUAUUAUUAUUAUUAUUAUUAUUAUUAUUAUUAUUAUUAUUAUUAUUAUUAUUAUUAUUAUUAUUAUUAUUAUUAUUAUUAUUAUUAUUAUUAUUAUUAUUAUUAUUAUUAUUAUUAUUAUUAUUAUUAUUAUUAUUAUUAUUAUUAUUAUUAUUAUUAUUAUUAUUAUUAUUAUUAUUAUUAUUAUUAUUAUUAUUAUUAUUAUUAUUAUUAUUAUUAUUAUUAUUAUUAUUAUUAUUAUUAUUAUUAUUAUUAUUAUUAUUAUUAUUAUUAUUAUUAUUAUUAUUAUUAUUAUUAUUAUUAUUAUUAUUAUUAUUAUUAUUAUUAUUAUUAUUAUUAUUAUUAUUAUUAUUAUUAUUAUUAUUAUUAUUAUUAUUAUUAUUAUUAUUAUUAUUAUUAUUAUUAUUAUUAUUAUAUAUAAUUACAUCCACUCACUGAGCCGCAAGCUCACUAUUUUCCUAUUUACCCAUUUCCUUCCAAGAUUCCGCAGGAUUUCGUACAUAUCAGUUCUAAUUAAUUGAGGUUGGGCCACGAGACACACUGUUGCAUGUCUUGCAUUUUGAGCACGUUUAUGUUGCUUAUGUUUUAUAUUUAAAUAAAUUUCUAUUGUCAAUAUGUACAAUGAGACAUGACUUAUGCAAGUUUUGAAUUCAUAUAUGGUUUCAGAAAAGGCACAGAGGUUGUUAUGUGUUUAUAGGAAAGGCCAUAUUAUUUUCAUGAAUUAAAUUUACGCCACAAGUUUUAGUUAUUAGUCCGCACGAUUCGCCUCAAAUCCGACAUAUAGGUCGGGGUGGGUCGUGUCAAAUUUAGUUUAAUUAAAUUGAACUAGAUCACAAUGAGAUUUUGUUAAACUUUGCAAUGGUUGCCAAACUUAUUAAAUCUUAUAAGCAUUAAUUUUACUUCAAUUAUAAUCUUCAGUUAAUUAUAGUUUCAUGAUUGCGAUUUUUAUACUAUUUGAGGUCUCGAUGGAUGCGAAAUAUAUUUAUACUAUUUUAGAUAGCGUACAAUUAUGGAGGUUGGUUCCAGUCUUCUUGUGGAGUAGAUUUAGAAUUCAUUUAGGCUUCUGAUCUAUUAAAUUGUUGGUGACUAGUUCGCACUUGAAUCAUAACCAAGGAAGAUUGUUGCCGACAAAUUGUGAUCUAUUAAAUUGCUGGUGACUAGUUUAUGUCUUGGGUGCUUGAAUUACUACUCCAAAAGGGUAAAUGUACGAUACCUAGUGUACAAUAAUUUUACAUAUUUUGUAAGAGUUGUGAUUCAAUGAUUUCUGCUGCAAAAUAUUUUUUAACCAACAAGUAAUAUGUGAAAGAGGG
rnacentral:lncRNA from 1 species